AUUGAACGCUGGCGGCAGGCCUAACACAUGCAAGUCGAGCGGUAGCACAGAGAGCUUGCUCUCGGGUGACGAGCGGCGGACGGGUGAGUAAUGUCUGGGAAACUGCCUGAUGGAGGGGGAUAACUACUGGAAACGGUAGCUAAUACCGCAUAACGUCGCAAGACCAAAGUGGGGGACCUUCGGGCCUCAUGCCAUCAGAUGUGCCCAGAUGGGAUUAGCUGGGAGGUGGGGUAAUGGCUCACCUAGGCGACGAUCCCUAGCUGGUCUGAGAGGAUGACCAGCCACACUGGAACUGAGACACGGUCCAGACUCCUACGGGAGGCAGCAGUGGGGAAUAUUGCACAAUGGGCGCAAGCCUGAUGCAGCCAUGCCGCGUGUAUGAAGAAGGCCUUCGGGUUGUAAAGUACUUUCAGCGAGGAGGAAGGCGUUAAGGUUAAUAACCUUGGCGAUUGACGUUACUCGCAGAAGAAGCACCGGCUAACUCCGUGCCAGCAGCCGCGGUAA
rnacentral:rRNA from 1 species